rnacentral:rRNA from 1 species
CCUUGUACACACCGCCCGUCACACCAUGAGAGUUGGUAACACCCGAAGUCCGUGAGGUAACCGUAAGGAGCCAGCGGCCGAAGGUGGGAUUGAUGAUUGGGGUG